UACGAAGGGGGGCUAGCGUUGCUCGGAAUUACUGGGCGUAAAGCGCACGUAGGCGGAUCUUUAAGUCAGGGGUGAAAUCCUGGAGCUCAACUCCAGAACUGCCUUUGAUACUGGAGAGCUUGAGUCCGGGAGAGGUGAGUGGAACUCCGGAGUGUAGAGGUGAAAUUCGUAGAUAUUCGGAAGAACACCAGUGGCGAAGGCGGCU
rnacentral:rRNA from 1 species